rnacentral:tRNA from 1 species
GCUCCCAUAGCUCAGCGGAUAGAGCACUGGUUUCCUAAACCAGGGGUCGCAUGUUCAAGUCAUGCUGGGAGCGCCA